GGCUCAUCUUGACAUGAGCUCUCCUAGAAGUGGAGGUAAGAAAGAGGGGUGAAUUGGUUCCAGGUAAAUUGCGCCAUGGCACACCACGUCGGCGCUUUUUAUCUUAACAAAUUUGAAUUUAGAAGCUAUGAAAUGCUCGUUAGAUUUGUCAGGUAAGUUCAACAGUCAUUCAUAUUGUCUUUAUUAUCGUAAACAGUUGGUCUAAUGUCUAUUUUGGAAGAAAACACCAGGCACGAUCGGGAUUCGAACCCGGGACUUUCGCAAACCAUGCGACAGUUCUAACCAACUGAGCUACCGAGCCCAGUCCAACCUUGCUUGUCCUCUACCUGUACCUGUCAAGAAAUGAUCCAGGCUCAUCUUGACAUGAGCUCUCCUAGAAGUGGAGGUAAGAAAGAGGGGUGAAUUGGUUCCAGGUAAAUUGCGCCAUGGCACACCACGUCGGCGCUGUUUAUCUUAACAUUUUUGAUUUCAGAAACUAUGAAAUGCUCGUAAGACAGUCAUUCAUAUUGUCUUUAUUAUCGUAAACAGUUGGUCUAAUGUCUAUUUUGGAGAAGAAAAUACCAGGCUCGACCGGGAUUCGAACCCGGGACUUUCGCAAACCAUGCGACUGCUCUAACCAACUGAGCUACCGAGCCCGGGUCAACCUUGCUUGUCCUCUACCUGUACCUGUCAAGAAAUGAUCCAGGCUCAUCUUGACAUGAGCUCUCCUAGAAGUGGAGGUAAGAAAGAGGGAUGAAUUGGUUCCAGGUAAAUUGCGCCAUGGCACACCACGUCGGCGCUGUUUAUCUUAACAGUUUUGAUUUUAGAAACUAUGAAAUGCUCGUUAGAUUUGGCAGGUAAGUUCAACAGUCAUUCAUAUUGUCUUUAUUAUCGUAAACAGUUGGUCUAAUGUCUAUUUUGGAGAAGAAAACACCAGGCUCGAUCGUGAUUCGAACCCGGGACUUUCGCAAACCAUCCGACUGUUCUAACCAACUGAGCUACCGAGGCUGGGUCCAUCUUGCUUGUCCACUACAGGUACCUGUCAAGAAAUGAUCCAGGCUCAUCUUGACAUGAGCUCUUGUAGAUGUGGAGGUAAGAAAGAGGGGUGAAUUGGUUCCAGGUAAAUUGCGCCAUGGCACACCACGUCGGCGCUGUUUGUCUUAACAGUUUUGAUUUCAGAAACUAUGAAAUGCUUGUUUGAUUUGUCAGAGAUGAAGGUGUAUCUCCUUGAUUAUCAUCAUAUUAGGACAUCUAAACUCAUCAUCACAUCAAGACCACAACUUCUCAGCACAGCAGAGAUGAAGAUAUGUCUGUUGGAUUAUCAUUUCACUGAGGACAGCUUAUUUAUAAACUCAUCAUCACCUACAAUAUCUACAACCUUGUAGCCUUAGUAGAGCGGAGAUGAAGGUGUGUCUUCUGGAUUAUCAUCACACUGAGGACAGCUAAACUAAUCAACACAUCAAGAUCUACAGCAUUGCAGCCUCACCACAGCAGAGAUGAAGGUAUGUCUUUUGGAUUAUCAUCCAACUGAGGACAGCUAAUUUAUAAACUCAUCAUCACCAGCAAGAUCUACAAUGUCACAGCUUCAGCACAGCAGAGAUGAAGGUGUAUUUCCUUGAUUAUCAUCAUACUUAGGACAUCUAAACUGAUCAUCACAUCAAGACCACAACAUCGCAGCCUCAGCACAGCAGAGAUGAAUGUAUGUCUGUUGGAUUAUCAUUUCACUGAGGACAGCUUAUUUAUAAACUCAUCAUCACCUACAAUAUCUACAACCUUGUAGCCUUAGUAGAGCGGAGAUGAAAGUGUGUCUUCUGGAUUAUCAUCACACUGAAGACAGCUAAACUCAUCAUCCCAUUAAGAUCUACAGCAUUGCAGCCUCACCACAGCAGAGAUGAAGGUAUGUCUCUUGGAUUAUCAUCCAACUGAGGACAGCUAAUUUAUAAACUCAUCAUCAUCAGCAGGAUCUACAAUGUCACAGCUUCAGCACAGGUGACCCUUUCCAUACAGCAUGGUGGCUUCUUGGUGAACUGACUCUACCUAUCUUGUAAUGGAUAAUACCUAUGGAAAAAGUAGACAGUGAAAAACAGCAGCAAGAGCAGUGCAUUAUCUCAUCCAUGUGUAGAAUACAUGAUAUGUGGCAAGAUUAAAAACGUCAUAUGAUGUGCAAAGCCUGAUUUUAGAUGUCCAUUUUUCAAGGAGGAAUCUGCAUCUGGUAUUGGUAGUAAGGAGAAAUCUUGAAUGGGUAUAUAUUGUUUCCAGAUGACAGUAAUAGGUAAUUUGUCACCUCUUACACAACCAAACUCAAAUCAUAACAUAAAAUGCUCCAUUUGAUACUGAAUAAUAUUAUUGUAAUAUUGAAAAUUUUGUUUUUUGUAAUUCUCAAUCUUCUAAUAUCAAUUGCCAAUAAACAACGCAGUCAACUGAUACACUUAUCUCAGAUUAUUACAGUUGUGAAGCUUAUUUUGUAUAAAUUUCACAAACAUUGGACUAGAUUUGUCAACAUCAUUCAUUUAAAUAUGUAAAGGUAUGGAAUU